CCUACGGGUGGCUGCAGUGGGGAAUAUUGGACAAUGGGCGAAAGCCUGAUCCAGCAAUGCCGCGUGUGUGAAGAAGGCCUUCGGGUUGUAAAGCACUUUCAGUGGGGAAGAAAGCCUUGGGGCUAAUACCCUCGAGGAAGGACAUCACCCACAGAAGAAGCACCGGCUAACUCCGUGCCAGCAGCCGCGGUAAUACGGAGGGUGCGAGCGUUAAUCGGAAUUACUGGGCGUAAAGCGCGCGUAGGCGGUCUGAUAAGCCGGUUGUGAAAGCCCCGGGCUCAACCUGGGAACGGCAUCCGGAACUGUCAGGCUAGAGUGCAGGAGAGGAAGGUAGAAUUCCCGGUGUAGCGGUGAAAUGCGUAGAGAUCGGGAGGAAUACCAGUGGCGAAGGCGGCCUUCUGGACUGACACUGACGCUGAGGUGCGAAAGCGUGGGUAGCAAACAGGAUUAGAUACCCGUGUAGUC
rnacentral:rRNA from 1 species